rnacentral:rRNA from 1 species
AACGAACGCUGGCGGCAGGCUUAACACAUGCAAGUCGAGCGCCCCGCAAGGGGCUCGGCCGACGGGUGUGUAACGCGUGGGAACGUACCCCUUUGUUCGGAACAACUCCGGGAAACUGGAGCUAUUACCGGAUAAGCCCUAUCGGGGAAAGAUUUAUCGCCGAAGGGUCGGCCCGCGUCUGAUUAGCUAGUUGGUGUGGUAACGGCUCACCAAGGCGACGAUCAGUAGCUGGUCUGAGAGGAUGAUCAGCCACACUGGGACUGAGACACGGCCCAGACUCCUACGGGAGGCAGCAGUGGGGAAUAUUGGACAAUGGGCGCAAGCCUGAUCCAGCCAUGCCGCGUGAGUGAUGAAGGCCUUAGGGUUGUAAAGCUCUUUUGUCCGGGAAGAUAAUGACUGUACCGGAAGAAUAAGCCCCGGCUAACUUCGUG